rnacentral:rRNA from 1 species
UACGUAGGGUGCAAGCGUUGUCCGGAAUUAUUGGGCGUAAAGGGCUCGUAGGCGGUUUGUCGCGUCGGGAGUGAAAACUCAGGGCUUAACCCUGAGCCUGCUUCCGAUACGGGCAGACUAGAGGUAUGCAGGGGAGAACGGAAUUCCUGGUGUAGCGGUGAAAUGCGCAGAUAUCAGGAGGAACACCGGUGGCGAAGGCGGUUCUCUGGGCAUUACCUGACGCUGAGGAGCGAAAGUGUGGGGAGGCGAACAGG